rnacentral:rRNA from 1 species
CCUACGGGAGGCAGCAGUGGGGAAUAUUGGACAAUGGGCGAAAGCCUGAUCCAGCAACGCCGCGUGGAGGAUGAAAGCCUUCGGGUUGUAAACUCCUGUCAGGUGGGACGAAAAGAUGCCGACAAAUAACCGGUAUCCUUGACGGUACCACCGGAGGAAGCCCCGGCUAACUCCGUGCCAGCAGCCGCGGUAAUACGGAGGGGGCAAGCGUUAUUCGGAAUCAUUGGGCGUAAAGGGCGCGUAGGCGGCUUGGCAAGUCAGGGGUGAAAUCCCUCGGCUCAACCGAGGAACUGCCUCUGAAACUGUCUGGCUUGAGGCCGGGAGAGGGUAGUGGAAUUCCCAGUGUAGCGGUGAAAUGCGUAGAUAUUGGGAGGAACACCGGUGGCGAAGGCGGCUACCUGGACCGGUUCUGACGCUGAGGCGCGAAAGUGUGGGGAGCAAACAGGAUUAGAUACCCUGGUAGUCCACACUGUAAACGAUGAGCACUCGGUGCCGCGGGUGUCGACCCCUGCGGUGCCUUAGGAAACCCGUUAAGUGCUCCGCCUGGGGAGUACGGUCGCAAGGCUGAAACUCAAAUGAAUUGACGG